rnacentral:lncRNA from 1 species
AUGCGGCACCAUCGCCUUCCUCCUCGGCGUUCGGCAUGCCGAUUGCAACACCCAAAGGCGUCGUUUUCGCCUCACCGUUGCUUCCGAAGCAUCAGUCGGCGCAGAGGCGCCGCGUCGAUACCGCAUGCUGGAGAACGUCUCGAACACAUCAGAGGAGGUGGAGGCAGACUACAGCAACGAGGUGUGCAUGCUUGUGGGAGAGGAGCCGACCUCCUUCACUGAGGCCGAGAAGGACCAAGGUCGGCGCGCCGCGAUGGACGAAGAGAUGCAUAGCAU